UACGGAGGGUGCAAGCGUUGCUCGGAAUUAUUGGGCGUAAAGGGUAGGUAGGUGGUCUCAUUUGUCUGGGGUGAAAGCCUUGAGCUUAACUCAAGAAGUGCCCCAGAAACGGUGAGACUGGAGUCCUGGAGAGGGUCGUGGAAUUCCCGGUGUAGCGGUGAAUGCGUAGAGAUCGGAGGAACACCUGCGGCGAAGGCGGUUUGCUGGCUGAUACUGACGCUGAGGCGCGAAAGCUAGGGAGCGAACGGGA
rnacentral:rRNA from 1 species